UAAUCAACCGGUUCUAUUGGUUUAUGUCAGAGUUAGUUCUUCUACCUAUCAAGCUUCACCAAGUUUGCUCUUAAUGGCAUCAGUUCCUUCAUCAAUUUUUUUUUCAAAAAGAAUGCCUUAAGAUUCAUGAACAUCUCAUAUCCAUCAAGAAAGUAGAUGAAAUAUUUCUAAUAUAAUAUUUAUCAGAUCAAGAUUCCAGCUAGUCGAUUUGUGAAUAUUUUACAUAAGAUUAAUACCCUUAACGUUAAAGUAAGAGAGUAUCAAAUUAUCCAAGUCCAUAUCCCAUAUGGAGUUUUGGUGAUCGAUUUGCUCAGAAUGUUCUCGAGCACAUAUCAAGUAGUCUCUAAAAUAUAACCUCAGACAGACCAACAAACCCCACAG
rnacentral:lncRNA from 1 species